UUCCACACACAGACGCUGCCGUUGUACAGACUGGCCAGCAUCCAUGGCUCAGUCGGGUGAAGGUCCACACUCUUCACUCGGUCCGACCUGGCGGUCAGCCUCCGCUUGAUGUCCAGCCUCAGAGGCUGAGAACACACGAGGCGCGUAAUAAACCAGGAGGAACACGUGCCAUGUACGGAAACGAGAGAUGAGGGAAAGGCUUUUUAAAUGUCUCCUACCAUAUUCUAUCCCCUCGUUGUCGCUAUAAGAUCAGAUAAAUGUGAAGCAGUCGAGGUCCAAAUGUUGCGAUUUCAGUGAACAGGACACUGGAUGGAGACUGACGUGGAACUUCCUGAAACCCAGUCUCGCAUGACCGAACAGACCUAACCCAGGGGCCCAAAGAGCCAGGGGCCCUGAUGUGGAGCUAUGUGUCUCUUGCAAUGAAACCUGCAAAAUGCCAUCAAAA